UACGUAGGGAGCAAGCGUUGUUCGGAUUUACUGGGCGUAAAGGGUUCGUAGGUGGCCAACUAAGUCAGACGUGAAAUCCCUCGGCUUAACCGGGGAACUGCGUCCGAUACUGGAUGGCUUGAGUAUGGGAGAGGGAUGCGGAAUUCCAGGUGUAGCGGUGAAAUGCGUAGAUAUCUGGAGGAACACCGGUGGCGAAGGCGGCAUCCUGGACCAUUACUGACGCUGAGGCUCGAAAGCGUGGGGAGCAAACAGG
rnacentral:rRNA from 1 species